GGGGGCGAUCUGGUUUCGACGUGGAUUGCAAAACCUGAGGCGCAUGUCGAGGAUGCAGCUCAUCUCGUUAAUCAGGCUGCAAAAUAUAGUUGCCAACGACGACAACUACGCUCUAGCCGCUUAAUCCCGGCUAGCCUCCGACCGGAACUUGCUUGUGAGGUCCGGGUCCUUCGGGACGCUCGGGGGUCGACUAACGCAAGCUCGCGCCGACCCUGUCCGGGAGCGAGGCGCUAAAACCCUAACCGGAACCGCUGUUCGUCGCCCUGCCGGUCGGGUUGCGAACGGUUAAAUCAAAGACUCGGCUAAACAUGUAGGGCCAAAGGCAGAGGAUUUGCGGACGGGGGUUCGAUCCCCCCCGCCUCCACCA
rnacentral:tmRNA from 1 species